CCUUGCCAGCCCGCUCAGAAACUUAAAGGAAUUGACGGGGGCCCGCACAAGCGGUGGAGUAUGUGGUUUAAUUCGAUGCAACGCGAAGAACCUUACCUGGUCUUGACAUCCCGGAGACCCUUAGGAAACUAGGGGGUGCUUCCAUCUGGAAGAAUCUGGAGACAGGUGCUGCAUGGCUGUCGUCAGCUCGUGUCGUGAGAUGUUGGGUUAAGUCCCGCAACGAGCGCAACCCUUGCCUUUAGUUGCCAGCAGUUCGGCUGGGCACUCUAAAGGGACUGCCGGUGUUAAACCGGAGGAAGGUGGGGAUGACGUCAAGUCCUCAUGGCCUUUAUGACCAGGGCUACACACGUACUACAAUGGCCGAUACAAAGGGCAGCGACACUGCGAGGUGAAGCCAAUCCCGUAAAAUCGGUCUCAGUCCGGAUUGGAGUCUGCAACUCGACUCCAUGAAGUUGGAAUCGCUAGUAAUCGUGGAUCAGCAUGCCACGGUGAAUACGUUCCCGGGCCUU
rnacentral:rRNA from 1 species